UAUUAUUGAUAAAUUUUACUUUUUAUCUAAUUCUGAAGGUUUUGAAAUCUGGAUAGUUUUAGAAUUUAUAAUCUUAAGGUGUCAUCAGUUUACAUAUCUUGUCCCUGUGAGAAAGAUUGUGUUGGUCAAAAGCUAUGACUGGCCGUUUUUCUUUAAACAUAAGAGACGCAAGUGGCUAAAGCCCCAGUUGAGAGCUCCCAUUAGUGCUCUCUCUGCAUUUUACUUUUACUGAGUCAUUUUGACAUAAGCAUUAAUUUCUCCUUUCUGAAUCCUGUACAAUCCAGUCAGUGACAAUUUGCUGAAGGGUAAUUAUGGUAGUAGAUACUGUUAGUAUACAAAGAUGAAAGCUGUUUUCACAGAUGUUAUUAUUAUUAUUGUUUUUUGUGUGUGAGGAAGAUUAGCCCUGAACUAACAUUUUUGCUGAGGAAGACUGGCUCUGGGCUGACACCUGUGCCCAUCUUCCUCUACUUUAUAUGGGACGCCGCCACAGCAUGGCUUGACAAGCGGUGUGUCGGUGUGCACCCGGGAUCCGAACCCGCGGACCCUGGGCUGAAGUGGAGCGCGCAAACUUAACCACUAGAAACCAGUGCCCGAAGGAAACUCCAAUUAAAAUUCCAGUAAAUUCAGCAGGAACAGAGAGGUUAACGACAGGUGUCAUUAGCCCUGAGAGGCGGUGUCGCUCAGUGGAAAUGGAUCUCAACCAAGCACAUGUAGAGGAAACUCUAAAAAGAAAAGGAAACAGUGUUUGGGAGCCUUGAGAGGGGGUUGGAUAAGGUGAUCACGGUGCUCACCAGGAGCCAAAGGAGGGGCUCGGCCAAAGACGGGCCAAGACAACUGUUUCUGCUCAUCCUGGUAAGUGGAGCACAGAAUUGAUUUCCACUCCCACUUGCCACCCAAAAUAGGUGUCCUUGUGCUACACCCAAUCUACACAACCCUACACAGCAGCCCUGCAAAGAUGUACCUGGGGCAACACUGUACCUCCAAAGUAGAUUUCCAGAAAGAACCACCUCACCAAAGACAAACAGGCAUUUCACAAAUUUCAUUACCAGAAAUCCUCAUAUUUGUUAAUAGAAAUUCAUCCCUAAACAUAAUAGGACCAGAGCAAAAAGGGUGAAGUGGAGAAAGAAAACCAGCAAAUUUGGGAAAAAGGAAACUCUUACAUCUUGAGGAAUAAUCAGUUGUUUCCUAAAGACCGUAAUCUUAGACUACAGGUUCAAACAGCUGAACUUCCCAUGCAUGUCAUAAGCUAAACACUAAAACAAUCACUAUCAUCUGCAGAAGAAGGCAUGA